GACAGAACCACCCGGGGGGACAGAGGAGAUCAGGAGAGGUCUGGGCCCAAGAAGGGCAGAAAAAGCCCGGGUAACAAGCCUCGCAGUCAGCCUCGGACUCGGCACCAGACCUGCCCAGGAAGGACGUGUUGACGUUCUACCUGGAGGACACGGGCUUGGCUGCGCACUCCCCUCAGGACAAAAGUGGCCAGCAGGACACGCGUUACCACGGAAACGACCCGCGGUUGAAUCGCCAGAAAGUGGGGACGGGGAUCUGGUAUCUCCUGUAACUCAGACAAUGGACCUUUAUUGGACGUCAUUACUUAUUAGAUUGCAAAUACCAAUCCUAAAAUAACCAGUUGUGCACGUCGGCGUGCAUUCAUUAACACUGCGUAAAGGGCAGGGAACAGAAGAAGCCCGUUACCUGUGUUAUUGCCCCAAGGCGUGGCUGUUUGCGAGCCCUCUGUGCAGUA